GAAAAAAGCAACUAACAAUCUCUGCAGUCUGCUGCAACCAUAAGGCACUAUAUAAAUGUAAGGGAUUAAAGAAACUGAUUUAUGCAUGGCUUUUCAGGAAUACUGUGAUUUUACAAAGCAAGACGCAUCUGCAAAGAUUUUCAUCCGCCUCUGCCACCCCUGAGACAGUAAGACCAACCCCUCCUCUUCCUCCUCCUCCUCCUCAGCUACUCAAUGUGAAGAUGACGAGGAUGAAGACCUUUAUGAUGAUCAACUUCCACUUAGUGAAUAGUAAAUGUAUUUUCUCUUCCUUAUGAUUUUCUUAAUAACGUGUUCUUUUCUCUAACUUACAUAUUUUGUAACUUACAAUAUAAUAUUCUUACUAGACUACAGUAAUGUAUAUAGCAUACAAAAUAUGUCUUAAUCGACUGUUUAUGUUAUCAGUAAGGCUUCUGGUCAACAGUAGGCUAUUAGUAGUUAACAUUUGGGGGAGUCAAAAUUAUACACAAAUUUUUGACUGCAUGUUGUCGGCACUCCUACCAAUCACAUUGUUCAAGAGCCAACUAUACAAUUACUAUGAAGAUAUAUACUGUAAUAACAGUUAUGUGAAUGUGGUCUCUUUCUCUUGCAAAGUAUUGAAUUGUACCGCACACGGUAUCAGUCCACAGUGCUCCAGCACCUGGAACUGUGCCUGACACAUGGUACAAGUUAGUAAAUAUUGGUGAAGUGAAUGAAUUAAUGAAAUUUUUAUAGCUAUCUAUAUCCAUAGAUAUCCAUUUUCGUAGAUAUCCCUAUAGAACAUUUCAUAGUUUAUCCAUAAACUUCAUUGGCUCUUUGGGCUCUGUCUUAAACCUAGACACCCCAUAUCCUGCUUUUUCCUAAAAAAAAAAACCUCCCUCCUAUCAUUUGGUGAAGUCUCCCUUUUUCACUGUCUUCACUUUAACAACAUCAUCACCACCUGAGGUGGAUGAUGUGGUUUGGCUGUAUCCCCACCCAAUUCUCAUCUUGUAUUGUAGCUCCCAUAAUUCCCACGUGUUGCGGGAGGGACCCAGUGGGAGAUAAUUGAAUCAUGUGGGUGGUUUCCCCCACACUGUUCUCAUGGUAGUGAAUAAGUCUUAGAAGACCUGAUGGUUUUAUAAUGGGUUUCCCCUUUCACUUGGCUUUCAUUUUUCCCUUUUGCCCGGUGCCAUGUAAGACGUGCCUUUUGCCUUCCGCCAUGAUUGUGAGGCCUCCCCAGCCACGUCGAACUGUCAGUCCACUAAACCUCUUUUUCUUUAUAAAUUACCCAGUCUCAAUUAUGUCUUUAUCAGCAGCAUGAAAACGGGCUAAUACGGGGGAGAAGUUUCAAGUAUAACAAAGGCCAGAACCAGAAGAGUAUGUAGAGUAAGAAACAAAAGGUCAAGAACAGAGCUCCAGGAUCACCAGCAUCCAAAAGAUAAGCAAGAGAAGAGAAGCUGGAAAGAAACCUGGGAUGGGAGGGAGGGGAUACUGGAGAUAGUGAGGUCAUGGAAAAACAGGGCACAAUUGUGUUUCACAAAGGCAGGAAUGAUCAAAA
rnacentral:lncRNA from 1 species